GGGCCUGUGGUCUAGCGGUUAUGACUCAACCUUGACGUGGUUGCAAUCCCAAGUUCGAAUCUUGGCAGGCCCA
rnacentral:tRNA from 1 species